GAAAUGCGAUACGUAGUGUGAAUUGCAGAUAAUGUGAAUCAUCGAAUCUUUGAACGCAAAUUGCACUCGAGGCUCCGGCCAAGAGUAUGUCUGCCUCAGCGUCGGCUUCACCCUCUCGCCCCCCCCCCUUUACACGGGGCGGCGGACAUGGCAGUCCCGGUCGAUCCGACCGGGUCCGCUGAAGACCAGAGGCUCGAGCAAGGACCCAAUCGGGACAACAGUCUGGUAGGUGACCCGCAAGGGAUCGCAUGCCGCUGUCGGCCCGGGACUUUGCUGGAGGCCGGUAGGCGCGCCCGGUUAUGGGAACCGGCGCAUCAUCUCAUUCGACCUGAGUUCAGGCAAGGGCACCCGCUGAACUUAA
rnacentral:misc_RNA from 1 species